rnacentral:rRNA from 1 species
CAGCAACCGCGGUUAUACAAAUAAUGCAAAUAAAAUUUAUUAAUAAUAGUUAAUUUGUUUUAUUUAAAUUUAUUUUAAAUUUUUUAAGUGAAAUUUUAAAUUUAAUUAAUUUAAAAUAAAUGAAGCUAAAAAAUUUUAAUUAUAAACUAGGAUUAGAUACCCUAUUAUUUAAAAAGUAUUUUUUUUUGUUUGAGUAGUAAUAGUUAUUUUCUUAAAACUUAAAAAAUUUGGCGGUGUUUUAGUCUAUUUAGAGGAACCUGUCCUGUAAUCGAUAAUCCACGUUGGACCCUACUAAUUUUUGUUUUCAAUUUGUAUAUCGCCGUUAUCAGAAUAUCUUAAAAGAGGAAAAAUUUUCUUAAUUUAUUAAUAAAAAUGAUGUCAGGUCAAGGUGCAGUUUAUAUUUUAGAAGAGAUGGGUUACAAUAAAAUUAUUUAUACGAAGAAUUUUAUUGAAAAAUAAAUUUAAAGGUGGAUUUAAAAGUAAAAUAAUAAAU